rnacentral:rRNA from 1 species
AUUGAACGCUGGCGGCAUGCCUUACACAUGCAAGUCGAACGCGAAAGUAGGGGCAACCCUGCGAGUAGAGUGGCGAACGGGUGAGUAAUGCAUCGGAACAUUUCCAGUAGCGGGGGAUAACCUCGAGAAAUCGAGGCUAAUACCGCAUACGUCCUACGGGAGAAAGCGGGGGACCGCAAGGCCUCGCACUAUUGGAGUGGCCGAUGCCGGAUUAGCUAGUGGGCGGGGUAAAAGCCCACCAAGGCGACGAUCCGUAGCUGGUCUGAGAGGAUGAUCAGCCACCCUGGGACUUAGACACGGCCAAGACUCCGACGGGAGGCAGCAGUGGGGAAUUUUGGACAAUGGGAGCAAGCCUGAUCCAGCCAUGCCGCGUGAGUGAAGAAGGCCUUCGGGUUGUAAAGCUCUUUCGGCCGGGACGAAAGCGCACCCUUUAAUACGGGGUGUGGAUGACGGUACCUGAAGAAUAAGCACCGGCUAACUACGUGCCAGCCGCCGCCGUAA